UACGUAGGGGGCAAGCGUUGUCCGGAUUUAUUGGGCGUAAAGAGCGUGUAGGCGGCCGUACAGGUCAGCUGUGAAAACUCGAGGCUCAACCUCGAGACGUCGGUUGAAACCGUACGGCUAGAGUCCGGAAGAGGAGAGUGGAAUUCCUGGUGUAGCGGUGAAAUGCGCAGAUAUCAGGAAGAACACCCGUGGCGAAGGCGGCUCUCUGGUACGUGACUGACGCUGAGACGCGAAAGCGUGGGGAGCGAACAGG
rnacentral:rRNA from 1 species